CCUACGGGUGGCUGCAGUGGGGAAUCUUGGACAAUGGGGGCAACCCUGAUCCAGCGACGCCGCGUGGGUGACGAAGGCCUUCGGGUUGUAAAGCCCUUUUGCCGGGGACGAUGAUGACGGUACCCGGAGAAUAAGCACCGGCUAACUCCGUGCCAGCAGCCGCGGUAAGACGGAGGGUGCUAGCGUUGUUCGGAAUUACUGGGCGUAAAGGGCGCGUAGGCGGCCGCUUAAGUCGGGUGUGAAAGCCCGGGGCUCAACCCCGGAACUGCAUCCGAGACUGGGUGGCUGGAGAUCGGGAGAGGAGGGUGGAAUACCCAGUGGAGAGGUGAAAUUCGUAGAUAUUGGGUGGAACACCGGUGGCGAAAGCGGCUCUCUGGCCCGAUUCUGACGCUGAGGCGCGAAAGCGUGGGGAGCAAACAGGAUUAGAUACCCGUGUAGUC
rnacentral:rRNA from 1 species